rnacentral:misc_RNA from 1 species
AAGUCGUAACAAGGUUUCCGUAGGUGAACCUGCGGAAGGAUCAUUAACGAGUUUGAAAUCGACGGCUUGAUGCUGGCGCGAUUGACUUGCGCAUGUGCUCGGCUCGUCGUACUCAAUCCUCUUAACCCCUGUGCACCUAAUGGGAGUUAGUAGUAGUCGGUGUGUGUAUAUAUAAUAUAUAUGCACUGUCGACGAACACUUCAAUUUUUAUUAUCAACGAUUACUUGUCAUGUGGAAUGUAAUGCUCCUUGUGAGCGAUAAAGUUAUACAACUUUCAACAACGGAUCUCUUGGCUCUC